AGUGAACACUGGCGGUAGGCCUAACACAUGCAAGUCGAACGGCCGCACAGUAAGCGCUUGCUCUUACGGGUGGCGAGUGGCGGACGGGUGAGGCAUACAUCGGAAUCUACUUUUUCGUGGGGGAUAACGUAGGGAAACUUACGCUAAUACCGCAUACGACCUACGGGUGAAAGCAGGGGAUCUUCGGACCUUGCGUGAUUGAAUGAGCCGACGUCGGAUUAGCUAGUUGGCGGGGUAAAGGCCCACCAAGGCGACGAUCCGUAGCUGGUCUGAGAGGAUGAUCAGCCACACUGGAACUGAGACACGGUCCAGACUCCUACGGGAGGCAGCAGUGGGGAAUAUUGGACAAUGGGCGCAAGCCUGAUCCAGCCAUACCGCGUGGGUGAAGAAGGCCUUCGGGUUGUAAAGCCCUUUUGUUGGGAAAGAAAAGCAGCAGGUUAAUACCCCGCUGUUCUGACGGUACCCAAAGAAUAAGCACCGGCUAACUUCGUG
rnacentral:rRNA from 1 species